UGGGGAAUUUUGGACAAUGGGCGCAAGCCUGAUCCAGCAAUGCCGCGUGAAGGAUGAAGUAUUUCGGUAUGUAAACUUCGAAAGAAUAGGAAGAAUAAAUGACGGUACUAUUUAUAAGGUCCGGCUAACUACGUGCCAGCAGCCGCGGUAAUACGUAGGGACCAAGCGUUGUUCGGAUUUACUGGGCGUAAAGGGCGCGUAGGCGGCAAUUCAAGUCAUCUGUGAAAUCUCCGGGCUUAACUCGGAACGGUCAGAUGAUACUGCUUUGCUAGAGUGCAGAAGGGGCAAUCGGAAUUCUUGGUGUAGCGGUGAAAUGCGUAGAUAUCAAGAGGAACACCUGAGGUGAAGACGGGUUGCUGGGCUGACACUGACGCUGAGGCGCGAAAGCCAGGGGAGCAAACGGGAUUAGAUACCCCAGUAGUCCCUGAGCGGGCUGGCAAGGCGCAU
rnacentral:rRNA from 1 species